rnacentral:lncRNA from 1 species
UUUGAGUUUGUUGGAGGAAUGGAAGAGAACAAAGAGAAGAGUAAUGGAGAAAGGUUGGCUCUAGUGCGUGAAAAGAGGAAGAAAAGGGAAGAGAAAGAAAAAAAUAAUAAUAAAAAAAAAAGAGGAAGAAGGCAGUUGGUGUUGGGAAACCGCAAGUAACUGUUGGAGUCUAUCAUGACACGUCGUCAUUUUGCAUGCGGGAAGAGGAGAGGUUCCCUACAAUUACAAAUUUGAUUUUUUGGGUAGGUUUUAUUUAUUCGGCCCAGUCCAGCACCUAUCCAUGGCCUUUAUAAUUAAGGAGGCUAAUGUUGAGGCCCAAAAAUAUCCACGGUUGGGCCCGAAUAAAUUAUCGGCCUAGUACGAUGCCUCAUUAAGAAAAGACCCAAUUUUGAGCACACGAAAGUCCACAAUGCACGAGUCACAAUCCACAUGCCAUGCCAAAUAAAUAAUCUGUCAUGCUAGGAAUUGAGAUAAAGAUUGUAAAAUAUACUAGCUCUACGAGUCCAUGCUAAUUACUCCGUCAAGCAUCCUGAUAAAAAGCGUGCCACGCCUAGCGGGAAAUCAUUAUUUCUCAUCAACCACGCUACAUGCUUAAGUGGGCCCAAGCGACUCAAAUGCCCGGGGCUUGCUUGAGUGGGUUGUGUAUGGAUGGUAACAAGUUUUCAUGAGGCCCAUUGAUGGGCCGAAAAAUGGAAGUCUCGAGUUGCUUGGAAGCCUCGAAACUCAAGCUCAUUCCUUGAGCCCAAACAUGUGGGUGAGCAUAUAAGAGAGAGAGAAAGUAGCCCAAUAUCCUAGAAAAAUUAGCCCAUCACCUCAACAAAAUAGCCCAACACUUGGUAAAGUUAGCCCAUUUAUUUGAUAAACCAACUUAUUGUCCUAGAAGGCCCAUGCAACUAAAAUAAGGAUCUGCAAAAGCCCCAGCACUUAGGUGGACAACAAAGGCCACGAAGGGAGCCAGGACAUCCACGUACGCAGAGCUACUGGGAGCCUCCAGCACAUGGGGGAAUGAAUUUCAAGCAAAAGCGUUCAAAGAACCAGGGGGGCAUUGGCGCGCAGACUGCUAGGAGAGGAAGCACCCUUCAAACCAGCAUGUAUACCCAUUUCUUUCUCCCCAUCAGAUCUAGCCAUGGAAGAAGGAAGGAAAGAAAAAUGGAGAUGGCUGAGAAUGGGAGUCCCCCACUAAAACAGCUGUAGGAAAAGCCUUGAGCUCCCAAAAAUCCUUGUUUUUGUGCGAUUGGGCAGAGAGGAUUUCACCAAAAUAGGAUAAGUCAAAGGAGGAGAGGAGAAAGGAAGGGAAAGACUUAGCCAAAUUGGAUAGAAACCAUUAGGAUUUCUUGGAAAGGAAGAGCUUCUAGCGGCUAUAAAUGAAGAACCUCCUACCCAACAACCAACAACCAACAACCACAUCCAAAGAGCAAGCUUUCUCUCUUACUUCCAAAACCCAGCAAUUUCGUGCUUUGUUCAUCCUUCUCCCCCUUAUUUUUCCCUCAUGGCAGACUGUUCUGGUACUUGACAGAACCUUUGUCGAGCUGCCGGAAAAUCACUUAAGCCACCCAUUGCCCUCUCCUAGUCUCUCUCCUCUUCUCAGCCAAACCCUCUGAUAAUCAUUUCCUCCCUUUCCUUAGAACCCCUGUUUUUCAUAGAAACUCACAGCUCUCUCCCUUUCAAGCUAAACUCAUGACAACUUUUCUUCCAUGCCACAAUUGUAAGCAACCAUUGUUUUUGUCGGUGAAGGUAACUAGGGUGUUUCCUAAGGCUUCACUAUCC